rnacentral:rRNA from 1 species
GACGAACGCUGGCGGCGUGCUUAACACAUGCAAGUCGAACGGAAAGGCCCUGCUUUUGUGGGGUGCUCGAGUGGCGAACGGGUGAGUAACACGUGAGUAACCUGCCCUUGACUUUGGGAUAACUUCAGGAAACUGGGGCUAAUACCGGAUAGGAGCUCCUGCUGCAUGGUGGGGGUUGGAAAGUUUCGGCCGUUGGGGAUGGACUCGCGGCUUAUCAGCUUGUUGGUGGGGUAGUGGCUUACCAAGGCUUUGACGGGUAGCCGGCCUGAGAGGGUGACCGGCCACCUUGGGACUGAGAUACGGCGCAGACUCCUACGGGCGGCAGCAGUGGGGAAUAUUGCACAAUGGGCGGACGCCUGAUGCAGCAACGCUGCGUGCGGGAUGACGGCCUUCGGGUUGUAAACCGAUUUCGCCUGUGACGAAGCGUGAUUGACGGUAAUGGGUAAAGAAGCACCGGCUAACUACGUG